rnacentral:rRNA from 1 species
UACGUAGGCAGCGAGCGUUGUUCGGAUUUACUGGGCGUAAAGGGUGUGUAGGCGGUUGUUUAAGUUUGGUGUGAAAUCUCCCGGCUCAACUGGGAGGGUGCGCCGAAUACUGAAUGACUUCGAGUGCGGGAGAGGAGAGUGGAAUUCCUGUUGUAGCGGUGAAAUGCGUAGAUAUGUGGAGGAACACCGAUGGCGAAGGCAGCCUUCUGGGCCAACACUGACGCUCAGGCACGAAAGCGUGGGGAGCAAACAGG